CUCCCUGUUCGGCCUUUGGCCACGCCCCCCUCAAGUAGUACUAUUCUUAUCAGUUUAAUCCCUGUUAUGUUCCCUAUCAGGGGACGUGUAUAUGGCAUCGAUUUUAGGAACCGGGAGAUGGAAAAAGAUGCUUGGUCGGUUCUCCUACUUCCAAUUUGGGGCACUGCGCGUGCAAUCUAAUGUGCCACCAGAUAAGAAUA